UUUGCCCAGACGAUUACGUCCCCUAACAUUAUCAGAUACUCCCUCCUCCAUCUAAGACCUAUGCGAUAACAUUAGAAAGGAGAGUUCCUUUUCUCUAAAAAAAAAAUAAAAAAAUUGAAGAGCGGCGCCUCUCUGUUCAAAACCAAGAGACAAGCGACCAGCUCCCCAUUUCUUCUUCGCCAUUUUUCCCAACCCCAAAAUCAAAAGCUAACCAUCGCAUCUCACUGCCUCUCAUCUGCAUUUACUCACUUCACUCACAUAACACAUACCUUUAGAAGCAAAGAAACUUUUAGAAGUAGAGAAUUUGAGUUCUAGAUCUGAAAGAAAAGAAGAGCUCCAAAGAGCAAAACAACAAUCAAAAAAGGAUUACCAAUACUUUUCGAGUCGAUUUUUUUUUUUUUUGAUUUUAAAUUGGAACUCUUCUGUUGAUUUCGGCUGCAGCUUCUUUCAUUGUCGCUUCUGAAUUCCAUCAGCUCUAGCAUGGCCUUUAUUUGGCCAUCGACAUUUGUUAGAUUGAUUCAUGUGCAUUAGGUAUGUACCGAAAUUUUAUUUUUCUUCCAGAUAUGUUAUAAUAUGAGAACACAUGUGCCUUCGUUUUGUCUC
rnacentral:lncRNA from 1 species